GCAGAAUUACUUUCCCAUUGUUCCUCAAAUGCAGUGUAUGAUAUACCAUUUUGUAGCUUUGAGUCUCUACUUUUAACACAAUUUCACAUUUUACUACAUAAGACGGAAUCCAGGUGGUGAGUCACAUAUGGAAUCAUGUAGCAACAAAAACAAGUGUUAAACAAAUUGAAAUAUAUUUUAUAUUUGAGAUUCUUCAAAGUAGCCACCCUUUGCCUUGAUGACAGAUUUGCACACUCUUUGAAAAAUCUAAAAUAUAUUUUUGCACAACACACUUCCACCGAGGUUGCACCUGCAAAAGCCCCUGGUAGGAUCUUAAUUAGCAUGAAAUAAAGGUGCACUUGAUUAAUCUCACCCAGUGCAAUGGGUAGGUAGAGUUCACUCUUUAUUAAUUAAAACCACUGGUUUUGUCCAUGAUGCGCAAACCCUCCAGCACACCAGCUGAAUGAAAUCAAGCGCACCUAAUCGCAAUUGGGAAAUUGGACCAAUGGAAAUUAUGUUCAGUGGCUUGCAGGUGUACCUAAUUAACCAGCCAGAUUAGAAGGGUCUAGGAUUCCUUUGUAAGGCGCAGCAAAAAAAACAAUCAGAUACAAUAUCAGGGAUCUCCUGGUAAGACUUCUGGCUACCAUUAGUUCUGAAUACUGAGGUUUUGAUGCGAAAAAUAGCUCUGAGUUUUGAAAUGUCUUUGAGAAUUUCUUGGAUUUGUUGCCUGCUAAUUGGAGGGAUAACCUGUUAUCCUCCACCUAAAGGUAAUUAUAGCUAUAUUCCCCAAAAUCAAGUAAAAGGAACUGGCCGCAAUGCAGCGGAAGCUACCGGCUCCCGUGCCUCGACAGGUGAAGCUACCGGUUCCCGUACCUCAGCAGGUGAAGCAGCUGGCCACGGUGCCUCAAAGCAACUGGCCACGGUGCCUCGGCAGCGGAAGCAACUGGACACAGUGCCAUGCAAACGGCCACCCAUAAUGCCUCAGAAGCGGCUAACCACAAUGCCUCAUCAAGCGUCACGACUGGCCCAAAUACCUUGGGUGAAGGAGCCGACUCCCGUGCCUCAGCAGAAGCAGCAACCCAUAAUAUCUCAGCAAGCGUCACGACUGGCCCAAAUACCUUAGCUGAAGCAACUGGCCACAAUGCUUCAUCAAGCGCCACGACUGGCCCAAGUGCCUCAGGUGAAGCAACUGGCCACAGUGCCACGCAAGCGCCACCCAUAAUGCCUCGACAAGUGUGGCAGCUGGCCCAAAUACCUUAGGUGAAUCAAUUUGCCACAGUGCUUCAUCAAGCGCCAUGACUGGCCUAAAUACCUUCGGUGAAGCAACCGGCCACUUUGCCUCGGCAGCGGAAGCAACCGGCCACGGUACCUCAAGUGCGGAAUCUGGUUCAAAUGCCUCGGCAGAAGCGGCAGGCGCCCUUGCCUCGGCAGAAGCGGCAGGCGCCCUUGCCUCGGCAGAAGCGGCAGGCGCCCUUGCCUCGGCAGAAGCGGCAGGCGCCCUUGCCUCGGCAGAAGCGGCAGGCGCCCUUGCCUCGGCAGAAGCGGCAGGCGCCCUUGCCUCGGCAGAAGCGGCAGG
rnacentral:lncRNA from 13 species